rnacentral:rRNA from 1 species
UGCCUCAGUAACGGCGAGUGAAGCGGCAACAGCUCAAAUUUGAAAUCUGGCGCAAGCCCGAGUUGUAAUUUGUAGAGGAUGCUUCUGGGCAGCGGCCGGUCUAAGUUCCUUGGAACAGGACGUCAUAGAGGGUGAGAAUCCCGUAUGCGACCGGUUGGCACCCUAUACGUAGCUCCUUCGACGAGUCGAGUUGUUUGGGAAUGCAGCUCUAAAUGGGAGGUAAAUUUCUUCUAAAGCUAAAUACCGGCCAGAGACCGAUAGCGCACAAGUAGAGUGAUCGAAAGAUGAAAAGCACUUUGGAAAGAGAGUUAAAAAGCACGUGAAAUUGUUGAAAGGGAAGCGCACGCAACCAGACUUGUUGGCGGUGUUCCGCCGGUCUUCUGACCGGUCUACUCGCCGCCGACAGGCCAGCAUCACUUGGGUGCGCCGGAUAAAGGCGCGGGGAAUGUAGCUCCCUUCGGGGAGUGUUAUAGCCCCGCGCACAAUACGGUGCCGCCCGAGUGAGGUCCGCGCUUCGGCUAGGAUGCUGGCGUAAUGGUUGUGUGCGGCCCGUCUUGAAACACGGACCAAGGAGUCUAACAUCUAUGCGAGUGUUCGGGUGUCAAACCCCUACGCGUAAUGAAAGUGAACGGAGGUGGGAACCGCAAGGUGCACCAUCGACCGAUCCUGAUGUCUUCGGAUGGAUUUGAGUAAGAGCAUAGCUGUUGGGACCCGAAAGAUGGUGAACUAUGCCUGAAUAGGGUGAAGCCAGAGGAAACUCUGGUGGAGGCUCGCAGCGGUUCUGACGUGCAAAUCGAUCGUCAAAUUUGGGUAUAGGG